CAUUGCCUGCUGUCAAGUCAAAAGAAUGUAAACAAUAAUAACAAAUAUGAACGUAUUUUUGGUGAUAUUCAGCGGAUUCGUGUGGUUUUAUUAGCUUUUUUCGCUGAAUAGCAGGAUAUUUACGAUGGCUUACUUCACAAUUAUAGUAUUUCUCCUUCAAAAUUGAUGAAAAGACUCAUCGAAUU